GUAUACACACAACUCUUAUACAACCACUCUUCUUCUCAAAGUUUCUCGGUUUUCUCACCCUUCGCUCAACUUCUCAUAGAAAUUCUUCAAAUUUUCAAUCUCAAAUUUGUUAAAUCGCUACUCAUAUCACCAACCCUAAUCAAGUAUGGGCUCAAUUUCCUUUUAGAUUGUAUUUUUUUGUCAGAUUUUACCUCUUUUUCUUUCACCCAUUCAUAAAUAUGUAGAAGUUAGAAGCGGUUUGAAGGUUUAAGGCAAAAGAUUCUCGAAAAUCUAUAGAUAUCAGAAGUUGUUUGAAGGUUUUAAGAAGAAAGGUUGGAAGUUUGAUAAUCACUGCGAGCUUUUGAUGUUUUCGAUGUUUUGAAGUUGUUCAAAGGCUUGUAAGAAAAUGAAAGGAACUGGCAGAGGACGAGGACAAGGUAAAAGUGGAAGAGAUGGUGUAGGAAGUGGAUGUGGUAAUUUUUUAGAACACAAAAGUUUAUGAACUACGUCUCAACCACAAAUAUAACCAAUAAGAGUUGUUGAAAUAUCAUUAGAGACUGGACAAUAACCUAACCCAAUUCAAGGACGUCUAUAGGCAGAACAAAUAUCAAGUGCCCCUCUCCAAAGAACAUCUCCCCAGAUAUGAUCAUCAAGAAAUCUAGAAGAAAGUAUGCAACCCUCCCUAGAGGUUGAAACUGGUAUAGCAGUGCUUGUUGGCAAAGUGAUAGCAAACAUAGAGGCUAGUGUGUCUUCAACAACGAAAAGUAUGCGUCAAUAGGUGCAAGUUGAUAUGAACCGAAAGUUGCAAGAAGAACGUGAACAAAUGACUGCCGAUUUAAAAAGGAAUAUGGAAGAAGAUUUGCAAAAACAAUUGGAAGGGAACAUGAACACAUGAAAGGUGAAGUAGACAAGAUGUUCCAAGAACAAAUGGCCGCUGUCAUGACUAGAAUUCAACAGGGACAAGUUUAUUAAACAAGGGGCCAAUCAAGAAGAAGGUUGAAGGCGUACACUGGAAGUUUUUGCUUUUUGACCAUAAAUAUAUAUACAAUGGAAGUAUUUUUGGUUUUGGUUAUAUAUAUAUAUAUAUAACAACUGAAGUACUACUAUGCAGUUGAAUUUUUGGUAUUUAUAAUAUUUGACUUAAGAAUGCUUUUGUAUUAAUUUUGU